CCUACGGGUCGCAGCAGUGGGGAAUAUUGGGCCAUGGGCGCAAGCCUUACCCAGCAAUACCGCGUGAGUGAAUAAGGUCUUCGGAUUGUAAAGCUCUUUUAUCAGGGACGAACAGAUGACGGUACCUGAAAAACAAGCCCCGGCUAACUACGUGCCAGCAGCCGCGGUAAAACGGAGGGGGCGAGCGUUGUCCGGAAUGACUUGGCAGAAAGGGUGAGUAAGCGGCAUACUAAGUUAGAAGUGAAAUACCCAGAGCUUAACUCGGGUGCUGCUUCUAGGAUUGUUGAUCUUGAGUGCGGGAGAGGUUAAUGGAAUUCCUAGUGUAGCGGUGGAAUGCGUAGAUAUUAGGAGGAACACCAGAGGCGAAGGCGAUUAACUGGACCGUAACUGACGCUGAGGCACGAAAGUGUGGGUAGCAAACAGGAUUAGAUACCCUAGUAGUC
rnacentral:rRNA from 1 species